ensembl:lncRNA novel transcript
AGACUAAUCUCGAACCUCUGUCCUUGUGAUCUGCCCACUUCGGCCCCCCAAAGUGCUGGGGUUACAGGCGUGAGCCACCGUGCCUGGCCUCUGUUUUCUUCUGUAGUUUCACUACCAUCCUUUGUGGUGAGUGGGGUGAGUGUUAGCCAAGGGUGGAACCUAGUUUUGUUUUGUUUCUCUCGCAUCUGAACAAGAUUUGGUCUCGAUUUCAGAAUGACCACGUUGCAGAGCAGGCCCCCCAAAUGUAAAACUAGGGGGAAGAGAAAUCACAAGUCCACUAAGGCUGGGCAGUGGUCUUAGGUUCAGAAUAUGGUGUCUUAAAUAUUCCUGCAGACCUUGGUCCUUUACUGUUGCAUCUGAGUGAGGCUCCUACGAUUGUUGCUACUGAUAAAAUAAAACGUACAUUUGAUGUAUAUAGUCAGAUUGCCCUACAGAAUGACUUUACAGAUUUGCUGUCCAGUCAGCAUGGUGUGAGAGUGCCUGAGACUCCAUCCCCUUCUCAAGGCCUGUGGUGUCACUGGGAAUAGAAGUUAUGGCUCUGAAAUUUAAACCCAACAGAAGCUUCCUAAGGCUGCUGUAACAAAAUCCCACAAACUGUGUGGCUUCAAACAAACAGAAGCUUAUUCUCUCACAAUUCUGGAGGCCUGCAGUCCAAGAUCAAGGAUGCCAAGACAGGAGGAUUGCUUGAUGCCAAGACAGGAGGAUUGCUUGAGGCCAAGUAUUCAAGACCAGCCUGGGCAACACAGACAUUGCAACAUCCCUGUCUUUACCAAAAAGGAAAAAAUUAGCCAGCCAUGGUGGCAUGCACCUAUGGGCCUAGUUACUCAAGAGGCUGACGUGGGAAGAUAGCUUGAGCCCAGGAGUUCAAGGUUACAGUGUCCAGCCUGGGUGACAGAAUAAGACCACGUCUCAAAAAACAAAGAAACAAACAAACCAGCCUGGGACCUCCUCCCUGCUUUGCUUCCUCUUCAGCAUGUGUGAUCUCUUUGCACAUGCCGAUUCCCCUUUCACAUUCCACCUUGAGCUGAAGCAGCCUGAGACCCUCACCAGAGGCCCAAUCUUGAACUUUCCA